CGCUCACAACCAACGUGGAAGGGCCAACACUUCUUCCCCACGGACUCUGCACCUCUCCCCAGGUGGGCUGCAAGGACUGGUGUGGGAGCUCCAUGAAGUCAGUAAUGUCCGGGGUCCUUCAAUCUUUCUGCCUCACAUUCUAGGAGGCGGCGGUCAGCCCCAGGACUCCUGUUCCCAAGGCCCAGCUGUGGUGCACAGGUAACAGGGGAAGGGCAGGGCACACAAAUGUGCAUGGAAGCUGGGUGUGUCCCCAUCUGGAGUCACCUUCUGAGAAGCCCUGUGGAAGAGCUCGGUUCACAUCUUACUGAGCGAAACUGGGCCACACCGCCACAUCUGCAAGGGCAACGCCCAACCAACUGAGCCACACCAGUCGGGACCUGACUGGUGUUCUUCUAAGAGAUGGAAAGUUGGACACACAGACACUGCAGACAGACGUGCAUGCGGAGGAAAGUCCAUCUGAGGGCACAGCAAGAAGACAGCCAUCUGUACACCAAGGAGAGAGGCGCUGGAAAAAACAACAUGCCAGCACCUUGACCUUGAUCUUCUAGCCUCCAGAUCUGUGAGAAAAUAA